GUGCUUUUUAUUUUUCACUCUCUUUACACGGUAUUGUACGAGAAGUCACCUCCGUAUAAGUUGCGAUAAUUGAUGGACCCCGCACAUAUCUCUAUGCAGGAUGUGAUGUCUAUCGGACCAAGAGCCUACGAGGUACUGUACAUUGAGCCAUACCCCAUUUGAAGCUGUAUUAUUUUAAGUUGUAUUAUUAUUUUCUUCAUCCAGAAUCGGCGAAGCAUGGAAAAAGGGACUUUGAUGCCGGGGAUACUAUCAUGUCACCAUUGGAUCGAAGUCCAUUCGACAGCUCAGAAAUCAGGUUUGCAUAUGCCAGGUGUGACAACAAUACUUGUAGCUGUGCAGCGAAUAAUCAUCGUCUGGAUCCCAAAUGCUGGGUUUAGUCCAUAUUUAUUCCAAGGC
rnacentral:sRNA from 2 species